rnacentral:rRNA from 1 species
AUUGAACGCUGGCGGCAUGCCUUACACAUGCAAGUCGAACGGUAACAGGUCUUCGGAUGCUGACGAGUGGCGAACGGGUGAGUAAUACAUCGGAACGUGCCCAGACGUGGGGGAUAACGAGGCGAAAGCUUUGCUAAUACCGCAUACGAUCUAAGGAUGAAAGCAGGGGACCGCAAGGCCUUGCGCGGUUGGAGCGGCCGAUGGCAGAUUAGGUAGUUGGUGGGAUAAAAGCUUACCAAGCCGAAGAUCUGUAGCUGGUCUGAGAGGACGACCAGCCACACUGGGACUGAGACACGGCCCAGACUCCUACGGGAGGCAGCAGUGGGGAAUUUUGGACAAUGGGCGAAAGCCUGAUCCAGCAAUGCCGCGUGCAGGAUGAAGGCCUUCGGGUUGUAAACUGCUUUUGUACGGAACGAAAAGGCUCUGGCUAAUACCUGGGGCACAUGACGGUACCGUAAGAAUAAGCACCGGCUAACUACGUG